rnacentral:lncRNA from 1 species
CUGACAAUUUUUUUUUUCUUUUUAUUGAGUUUAUUGGUACAUUCUAGGUAUACAAUUCAGUUACAUUCAUUACUGGGAUCUUGUACCUUUACAUGCCAGGUCCUGGUUCUCAUUUUUUCCCCUUGUCCCUGCCCUCCCUUCACCCCCUCCUCCCCACCCCUGACAGACAAAUUUAAAAGCAACGGAAAAGGGAUAGAGAAGAAAGCCAACCUUAAGCAGAAGAAACACAAUCAGCAAAAUCCGCAAAAGCAACAAAUACAACGAAUACAGCAAAUUACCAGAAUAGCAGAUAAUGUUCCCUCAUAUGAAGGAUACUACAGGAAUGUCAUAUAUCGCAGAAAACUCACUACGCUGCUGGCCCUUAGAGAAGAAAUUGAAAAUGCACGUGCAGCAAUCUCAAUAACCAAGGUUACCCAAGCAGCAGUUCACUGUACUAAUAAUAAAUGUCUGGAAGCUAUGGCCACCACUCUGAGCACCUCUUGCAAUUGUAGAGGCCAAAGGUAACUUGUAUUACUCUCAUGAAGUCUCAAUAAAUUUAGCAUUAAAACAUUUAUAUAAGUUUUUCUUUUCCUGAAGUGUAUGUUUUUUGGGGGUAGACUCUGAAUAUGUAUAUACUCAUUUAUCACUCCAAAU